UUUCUUCUUUGUUAAGAUUUUCAAUUAAGUAUGAUGUUGUGUUUGCAUAUUGUUUGGUUUUUCCAAACGUGAGUAACGAAAGUUACACUUUCUUUUCAUUUCCUGUAUAUUCGGCCAUUUUCGCCAGACACCGCUCCGCAAGAGAGCGGUGUUUUUU
rnacentral:other from 1 species